rfam:Moellerella wisconsensis ATCC 35017 Sequence00019, whole genome shotgun sequence.
GUGUUUAUAAAUUUAAGAUAGGGUCGGUAAUAUAAUCUAAAAUUUUAGAUACUAUCUGCUAAAAAAGAAUUGCUGUGUGUAGUCUUUGCCUGUCAGCCCAUGAUAGGCUUUUUUUUUA